AUUGAACGCUGGCGGCAGGCCUAACACAUGCAAGUCGAACGAGUGGCGGACGGGUGAGUAAUGUCUGGGAAACUGCCCGAUGGAGGGGGAUAACUACUGGAAACAGUAGCUAAUACCGCAUACCAUCGGAUGUGCCCAGAUGGGAUUAGCUAGUAGGUGGGGUAACGGCUCACCUAGGCGACGAGCCCUAGCUGGUCUGAGAGGAUGACCGGCAACACUGGAACGGAGAAACGGUCCAGACGCCUACGGGAGGCAGCAGGGGGGAAUAUUGCACAAUGGGCGCAAGCCUGAUGCAGCCAUGCCGCGUGUAUGAAGAAGGCCUUCGGGUUGUAAAGUACUUUCAGCGGGGAGGCGGUACUCGAAGAGAAAGCACCGGCUAACUCCGUGCCAGCAGCCGCGGUAAUAC
rnacentral:rRNA from 1 species